UACGGAGGGGGCUAGCGUUGCUCGGAAUCACUGGGCGUAAAGCGCACGUAGGCGGAUUCCUAAGUCGGGGGUGAAAUCCUGGAGCUCAACUCCAGAACUGCCUUCGAUACUGGGAAUCUUGAGUCCGGAAGAGGUGAGUGGAAUUCCGAGUGUAGAGGUGAAAUUCGUAGAUAUUCGGAGGAACACCAGUGGCGAAGGCGGCUCACUGGUCCGGUACUGACGCUGAGGUGCGAAAGCGUGGGGAGCAAACAGG
rnacentral:rRNA from 1 species